UACAGAGGUCUCAAGCGUUGUUCGGAUUCAUUGGGCGUAAAGGGUGCGUAGGCGGCGCGGUAAGUCGGGUGUGAAAUCUUGGAGCUUAACUCCGAAACUGCAUUCGAUACUGCCGUGCUUGAGGACUGGAGAGGAGACUGGAAUUCAUGGUGUAGCAGUGAAAUGCGCAGAUAUCAGGAGGAACACCGAUUGCGAAGGCAGCUCGCUGGGACGUUACUGACGCUGAGACGCGAAAGCGUGGGGAGCAAACAGG
rnacentral:rRNA from 1 species